UUUGUCAUUUUUGACCUUUUUUUUAAUUUUUAAUCUCAACCAUUAAUUUUCUAACCAUAAAUUCAUUCUUUACAAUUAAACAACCCUAACUAAUGCUUUAACCAUUAUUCUACCCGCCCUCUCUUCUCCCUUCUUCUCUUCUUCCUCUUCCAUUUUUGUCUUCCUCUUCCACAUUCGAUCAAAAUCAAAGCCGGAGAAUCAGCAACAUCUUGCGCCUCGCACAGCAGCAACGAUGUCGCGCCUCACAGCAGCAACAGCAGCGACGUCGCCCUCCAGCAGCAGCAGUGAUGCACAAAGCAACUCCAUCUGCCAUCGAUUAGCAGCAACAUGGCACCGUCGUUGCACGACACCAGCCUUUGUACCGUCGCACGAAGCACAACGUUUUGAAUGUUUCUUUCUUAUCUGGGGCAUUCCUUUGUUGUUUGCAAUGUUACU
rnacentral:lncRNA from 1 species